AAGUCGUAACAAGGUUUCCGUAGGUGAACCUGCGGAAGGAUCAUUGGAGUAGAGGGGAGGGGGAAUGGAGAGAGAGUUGGAACACGAGUGAAUAAUCUUUAAUCUACAACCAAUACAACAACAACUGCUGACAAUGGAUCUCUGGGCUCUU
rnacentral:misc_RNA from 1 species